GACGAACGCUGGCGGCGUGCUUAACACAUGCAAGUCGAACGGAAAGGCCCUGCUUUUGUGGGGUGCUCGAGUGGCGAACGGGUGAGUAACACGUGAGUAACCUGCCCUUGACUUUGGGAUAACUUCAGGAAACUGGGGCUAAUACCGGAUAGGAGCUCCUGCUGCAUGGUGGGGGUUGGAAAGUUUCGGCGGUUGGGGAUGGACUCGCGGCUUAUCAGCUUGUUGGUGGGGUAGUGGCUUACCAAGGCUUUGACGGGUAGCCGGCCUGAGAGGGUGACCGGCCACAUUGGGACUGAGAUACGGCCCAGAGGCCUACGGGAGGCAGCAGUGGGGAAUAUUGCACAAUGGGCGGAAGCCUGAUGCAGCAACGCCGCGUGCGGGAUGACGGCCUUCGGGGUGUAAACCGCUUUCGCCUGUGACGAAGCGUGAGUGACGGUAAUGGGUAAAGAAGCACCGGCUAACUACG
rnacentral:rRNA from 1 species